GUAACAUAUAUAUAUAUUUUUACUGAAAUAUUGUGUUUUUCGAUGAUGAAAUAUAGCAGACGGGCGGUCUGAAAUGAUGCCAUGUUGAUUGGCUAUCCAAGCCGCUUGAUGAUCGAGGAUUGCUUGACAAUCGCUUGAAAAAUGUUUGUUUGAUUCCCGCUUGGUUUGUAAACGAGCUGCUUGGCUUGGUUCGAUUUGAAAACGAUCCAAGCAUACCUGUAGAGGGAACCAUUUAUUCUCGAUCGUGGGAUCACUCCAUUAGAAGAUGGGAUGUGGAGACAGGAAAAGACACAAUAAACAUGGUACUUUGUGUCGUCAAUGUUUAUUUAAUCUUUUCAAAUCGAUUGUUUGAGUG
rnacentral:lncRNA from 1 species